rnacentral:rRNA from 1 species
UACGGAGGGUGCGAGCGUUGUCCGGAAUCACUGGGCGUAAAGGGCGCGUAGGCGGUCUGCUAAGCGUGCGGUGAAAGCCUGGGGCUCAACCCCAGGUCUGCCGUGCGAACUGGUGGACUCGAGCACUGUAGAGGCAGGUGGAAUUCCGGGUGUAGCGGUGGAAUGCGUAGAGAUCAUGAGGAAGACCAGUGGCGAAGGCGGGUCUCUGGACAGUUCCUGACACUGAGGCACGAAGGCCAGGGGAGCAAACGGG